AUGUGAUCGUCUCUCGCAUAUCAAUAAGCGGAGGAAAAGAAACUAACAAGGAUUCCCCUAGUAACGGCGAGUGAAGCGGGAAGAGCUCAAAUUUGAAAUCUUAAAGGGUUUCCCUUUACGAAUUGUAGUUUAGAGAAGUGUUUUCUGUUGAGGUUUUGGUAAAAGUUCUUUGGAAUAGGACAUCAUAGAGGGUGAGAAUCCCGUAUUUGACCUUUACUUUCAACUUUGUGAUACACUUUCAAAGAGUCGGACUGUUUGGGAAUGCAGUCCAAAAUGGGUGGUAAAUUUCAUCUAAAGCUAAAUAUUGGCUGAGAGACCGAUAGCGAACAAGUACCGUGAGGGAAAGAUGAAAAGAACUUUGAAAAGAGAGUUAAACAGUACGUGAAAUUGUCAAAAGGGAAGCGUUUGACACCAGUGUUGUUUUUCUGAAAAUCAAUUAAAGAACUGUUUAUGCUAAGCUGUUUAGACUUUAUCAGCUAACUGUUUAGUUUUGAGCUUUUCUUUAAUGCACUUUUCAGUUAACAAGUCAACAUCAAUUUCUUUUGCUGUAAAAAAGCUUGAGGAAGGUGGCUUGAGAUUCGUCUUAAGUGUUUAUAGCCUCUUGCCUAAUGCAGUCGGAAAGAUUGAGGUCUGCAGCGUAGAUCCUUCGGGGCUAAAUGCAUUUGUGCUAAGUUAUAGCAUUUUAUAGACAACUUGUUGACUAUGAUUUGUCUUGUAGCUUACUCGCUUAUGUUAUUUUACCUACGCUUAGGAUGUUGACUGAUAUGUAGUCGUA
rnacentral:rRNA from 1 species